GACAGCAGCCGCCGCGGUAAAACGAAGGGUGCAAGCGUUACUCGGAAUUACUGGGCGUAAAGCGUGCGUAGGUGGUUGUUUAAGUCUGCUGUGAAAGCCCUGGGCUCAACCUGGGAAUUGCAGUGGAUACUGGGCAACUAGAGUAAGGUAGAGGAUAGUGGAAUUUCCGGUGUAGCAGUGAAAUGCGUAGAGAUCGGAAGGAACAUCUGUGGCGAAGGCGACUAUCUGGGCCAUUACUGACACUGAGGCACGAAAGCGUGGGGAGCAAACAGGAUUAGAUACCCCCGUAGUCCCUGUCUCUUAUAC
rnacentral:rRNA from 1 species